AGGUGUAAAGGUUAUCCCUGGCUCCGAAACUGCAUUUAUAGAAAAUGACGGUGUAUACGUCGAUUCAUGGGGAGUGAUGAGUCUUAGUGGACAUUGUUGUUACCAAUGAAGAGGGUAACGUCAAAUUUAGGUUAAAUGUGACGUCUUAAUGGUAGUUGUUGUUACAAUUGACUGUUUGUAUUCAUUGUGAAUUAGGGUUGAACGUCAUGUUUGGGUUGAAUUCGAUGUCGCGGUGGACGAUAUUGUUACCAAUGACUGUUUGUAUUCAUUGUGAAUUAAGGUUGGACGUCAUAUUUAGGUUAUAGUCAACGUCAUAUGUGGAUGGGGAAC
rnacentral:lncRNA from 1 species